GUCUAUGGCCAUGCCACCCUGAACAAACCCGAUCCUGUCUGAUCUCAGAAGCUAAGCAGAGUCGGGCCUAGUUAGUACUUGGAUGGGUGACCACCUAGGAAGACCAAGUGCUGUAGGCG
rnacentral:rRNA from 1 species